UACGAAGGGGGCUAGCGUUGUUCGGAAUUACUGGGCGUAAAGCGCGCGCAGGCGGUUUUUCAAGUCAGGGGUGAAAGCCCGGAGCUCAACUCCGGAACUGCCAUUGAAACUGUGAAACUUGAGGAUGAGAGAGGUGAGUGGAAUUCCCAGUGUAGAGGUGAAAUUCGUAGAUAUUGGGAAGAACACCGGUGGCGAAGGCGGCUCACUGGCUCAUUUCUGACGCUGAGACGCGAAAGCGUGGGGAGCGAACAGG
rnacentral:rRNA from 1 species